rnacentral:SRP_RNA from 1 species
GAGGGGUCCCCGCAAAGGAGCCCUGUGAACCUGGUCAGGGCCUAACCGCAGCAGCCAUAAGCAGCCAGCUCUUUGUGCGGCUGGGCCCCUCAUU